GUUCAAAUUCCGCCGAGGUGGACUUUGCCUUUCAUUCUUUCGGGAGUCAAUAAAUUAAGUACCAGUUGCGUACUGGGGUCGAUCUAAUCGACUGGCCUCCUCCCCAAUAAAAUUUCGGGCCUUGCGCUUCGAGUAGAAAAGGAUGUUUUGAGAGUAAAAUUGUG